ensembl:lncRNA
GGGUGAUUUAGGAAAUCACAUGAUUUCAACUUUGAUUUUCUGCUCUGUUGUCAACACAGUUCUCUCCCCGCUCAUCAAAACACUCAAAUAGUGAAUAUAGUAAAAUUACAUUUCACAUGGUGCUAGGAUGGUCAAGUUAGUUAUCAGGUUGUGCCUAUGCAGUUGCUAAUGUGUUUGGAGCAGUUGUUUGGACAUUGCAAUAUGGUUUCUAAAGUGUUCUGGGCAGUUCCCACAUGCUUCUUUACCAGGCCAAGACCUUCGAGUGUCUACAGCCCUUUUUAAGCCUGCUAUUAAGAUCCAUCUUGGCUGAUCUGGGCUAUUGCAACUCGCUGCUUAACUACCAUAAUACGAUGCAUUGUUGGAGAAAAUAACUAGCUAAUCACAACUGUUUCCCAAAAUCGUAGUAAUGGUAUACACAUCCAUCAUUCAAACCUCUCUGGUUCAAUAAUGAUGUCAUGUAGGUGUAGUAAUAGUUUGAGAUCAAAUUAAUGUCAGAUUACUGCUAUAAAUAAUGAAGAAUACUUCACUUAUUUUGCUGUAUUUACAGAUGUUAGAUUCAAUCGUGUGUUAACACUUUUAUGUCAUACUUCUGGGUUACUAGAGCAUAUUCGCACAUGCACACUGUUCGAAAACUGCUUUUAUUUUAUAGAUAAACUAAGGGUACAUCUACAUGUCAGCAAUGUACUAAAAACAGAAAAGGCCAGUAGAUGGCGAUGUCACCUUGUAAAAAAAAAACGAGUGGCCAAAACGCGUAAAACUUUUUCCUUUUUAGUUCGAAAUAUUAAAAUAAUUAAUCAUUAGUUUAUAUCUUAUACACUAUAUCUUAAUCCCACAUUAAACACAUUGUUAUGUCUGUUUUUUUUAUUUUUAGUUUAUUUUUUUUCACGUUUUUAAGUACAAUAUUAGGUUAGUCCACAGCCCCCCACCAGGGGGGGCUGAUGCUAUGACGGGGGGGGCUGCAGCCCCCGCAGCACCCCCCUUCCCGCGCCAUUGAUAUAUGUGCAUAUCAUAUAUUUUUCAUUCA